GGCCUCCCAGUGCUCACCACGGCCGUGUUCUCACACCGCCUGUACAGAAAGAGGAGGCAGUGAACCCACCCCAUACACACCCCGGCCCAGGCCCUUCGCCAGGUCUGUGUUGCGAAUGGGGGGAACACGG